GCCAAAGGGGGAGACGGUUAAUGCGCGCGCAGGAAUAACGGGCAGAGGAAAGAGCGUCCGGUUGCGCCCGCGCGCUGACUGGCCUUAAAUAUCCCUUACGAGGGUGGGCGGGGCUUGUUACCUUGUUGACGGCGGCGUGUUCCCGCAGAGCCAGGUCCCAGAAGCGGCAGCCGAUCUGGUUUCCGCAUUGACCCACUGCAGGGGAAUGAGGGAUAGAAUAAUUUAAAAAAACAACACGAUCAGGUGAUCGGUCGCAUAGACUGGGGAGAGUGGGGCAAGCAGGGAGGCCCGCGGCAUGGGGAGAAGAGCAAUAAUGGAAAAAGAGGCUAAACGUGCUCACCCUGUAUCACUACUGACUGCGUCAUGGCCGCUGUUUGCGAGGCACCUGUCGCUAGGGCUACUUGAAUCAAUAACCCUGCCCGCCUAGAGUGGGCCGCCCGAAAGCACCUCGGGGGAGAGUGGACUCCAGGCGUCCCGUUCCCAGGCUGAGCGGCGCAUGCGCGAGUCGCGACGCCUCUACCAGCAACCUGGACGCUAAUGCAGCGGAGAACAGACGCCUUGGGUUCUUACUAGGAGCGCACGCGCCGCACUGCCUAACGGCCCCGCCCCUGCUCUUUUCCGCUCUCCCGGUUCUAACGGCGGCUUGCCUGAAGUCACCGCUCAGUCACGCACACCCUCGUUUACUUGGAGGUGUGUUGACCUUCAGAUAUCAGAAAGCACUAGUCUGUUACAAAGUUUCAGGUACUUGCUUUCAAGCCUGAGGGCAGGAAGCUUAGAGGUGACCUUCCCCCUUGCCCCUGUGCAGGUGGUAAAAUGUAAAGUGAAGCAGAAGGAAAGCUUGAUUGCAUCCACAAAUUGAUUGGAAGAGACAGCCUUGACCUUUUGUAAGACUGUUUCACAUGAAACUUUGAAAGAUGGAUCUCAUUAACUCCUUGCUGCCUGCAUCCAUGGCUCCAUCUACAGAAUCCUAAGAAAUUUUUAUUAAAAGUGUUGUACAGGACCUUGUAGUUUUGUCAUUCACCAGCUUUUCAGGUGGCAGGACAUACGUUGAUGCUCACAGCACCACUAACCAAAGCUGCCUUACUGAAACUCACUGGCCUUUCAUCAAUCAUAAAGUUGCGAAUGCAUCCAGUAAAGGAAUUGCGUGUGGUCAGGCUGAAUGUCAGGAGAGAAUCUGCAAAGAGAGUCGUAGGGGAAAUGUCGUUCCAAGAGUGGGAUUUUUCUGAAUCAUUCCUCCAGCAUGGCUUGAGGCCAGAAUGUGGCAUCGUGCCAGAGUGAAGGCCCUCCUGUGCUUUGGGACUUCCAGUUGUGUUAGAUACGUCAUGGGAGAGGCAGAGUACCUGGGACCUUCACUGAUGAAGUUCAGAGCCCUGCCUAGGCACAACAGACACAGACAGCGUAUCCUUUUGAGAUUCACCAAAGUCGCCCUUCCUAGGAAAGAAGAACAACUGGAAAGUUGCCUCAGGACAUAUUUUGGGCUAUAACUGGCCCUGGUUCCAUCCCUGAGGAAAGAGAUCCUUCAGUUGCAUCUGAGCCACGAGGGGCCAAUCACCACUAAAGGAAGGACGAGGUUGUAUGAUCAUCACUGCUCUCCCUAUCCCUGCUUUCUUUCUUAAAUCCAAAAACCUGUUUCUCUCAAACCUCCUUUCUUUAGCCAGCCUGGAAGUCAUUUUAAUUUGGACACUAAGCUAAAUUUCCUCUUUGCAGUUAUCUGGUUAAUCUUGUAACGUAUUUUUGGUAGUAAUAUUGUUUUAAUCAACUUUCUUAUUCCACUGUACUCCUGAAACCCAAAUAAACCCUUUCUUUGUUUUGGG